AUGGCGAGAGAAGGACGGCCAGAUUUGUGGGCCAAAAAGUCCAAAAUAAUGCAAGGCUAAAGGGGUAACGGGACAUUCCCAGGGUUCAAUGACAUGACCAGUUAGACAGUAGUGGGCUCAGGCUGAUGCUGCAGCCUCGACGCCUGGAUAUGGAAGGACACAUACCCGUCCGGUGACCAGCGGCGUUCCGGAGUGCCUCAUUCGUGAAAUUCCUCGUCGUCAGCUUGUAUCGCACAUGACUCGUCCUCGGACGGCUGGACAGCUUCGGGACAGACGUCGACGUAUACCAUCGCAUUAGACAGCUGUUGGGUAGAGCACUUUCGGGCUGUGUCAACCUGUUAGAACUUUGUGUUUCGUACGGUAAUGUAAUGUGUGAUGCCGAAUUGUGAACCGUCUGUGUUUAGUCGUAUACAGUAAGCCGAACUGUGAACUGUCUGUAUACAAGUGUACCGGAAGUAGCGGUGUUGCCGAACUUUGGCAGUGUUUACAUUAUCAGCUGAUUAGUGACAUUUUAGUACUUCUCUGUGGUUUAAGAGUCAUUGAGGAUUUAGGAUGAACUGUACUGUAUAUUUGCAUUAACAGCAAUGAUGAAUUUGCUUACGUUUAGAGAAUUUCAAGCUGUAUGAAAUGUAUAAGUGAACUUUAAAUAUACUUCAAAUUUAGUGUAAAUUUGAAUCGACUUCUGAGACCUUGAAAUUACUUGAAAAUUAUUCUUCUAGUCAAAUACCUGGUGUAGUGUGUAGUAGUGUGAGGGAUCCCUACCAAACUGUAAUAUGUUAGUGUUGAACUUGUGUGCUAUGUCUCUAAUUGUUAUUGUGUAAAUAAAUUGUUAAGUUUA